GAGACAACACUGACAGACUGUAGUACAGAUACUGAAUACAGACAUCUCAACAGAACAAUGUUGCUCAUCUCUUUUGUUUUAAUAUUUAUCUUCAGCUUCUGUGAAGCUAAUAAGGACUUAAUCAAACCAGACAAAACCUCUGUGUCUAUAACUGAAGGAAACAACAUCACACUGUCCUGUACAUUUGAUGGUUCAGCUUACAGUCUCCACUGGUACCGGCAGAUGUCUGGAUCAAGACCUGACUUUCUAGUGCUGAUUGUUGAGUCCUCUAAAUUUGUAAUAUCAUCUACUCCACCUCAACCACACAUGUCCAUCAGACUCCAGAAUAAACAAGUGUAUCUGGAGAUCUCAUCUGCUGCUGUAUCAGACUCUGCUCUCUAUUACUGUGCCAUGGAGCCCACAGUGACAGGAAACACAACAACACUGUACAAAAACAUGGAUAGCAAAAUUGCUGUGGCCCAGAUCUGGUUCCCAUCUGACACCUUCAUCUGGCCCACCUUUGGCAUGGAAUGA